UUUUGGGAUAAAACUUUAAAAUAAAAGAGUUAUCACCACCUCAAAUAAAACAGUUACUCUAGGGAUAACAGCACAAUAAAAGCCAAGAGAACUUAUCUACCCUUUAGAUUGUGACCUCGAUGUUGAAUCAAGAAUUACUAGCCGUAGAAGGCUAACAAGUUUCGUCUGUUCGACGACACAUAAAUACGUG
rnacentral:rRNA from 1 species